rnacentral:rRNA from 1 species
UUCGUCCGUAUCAUUUUUUUUCUGGCGAAAGCAAAUCCCGAAACGCCUCGUCCAGUGCAGCCCCCGACCCCUAGCUCCCAGUCCUCCCUCCCUGCGCCGCCGCUCAUCGCGCCGGCCACCACCACCUCCCUCCCUAGACAGCCUCCACCACCCCCUCCUCCAGCAGCCAUGUACAGCGGAGCGACGACCACGCGUCUGGCCUAGGUGAGUCCCGGCCUCCCUCUUCCCUUCGUCCAAGGCCAGGAGUUCCCCUCCACGACCUGAUCUGACGGAGCCACAUCCGGCUGGGGGAGCCUCCGUAGAGCCUCCACGUCGGCGGAGCAGCAGCAGCCCGAUAGAAGGUGGGUGCCCAAUCGCCGUCCAGCAUCUCGCCGUUUUCUCGAUCCGGUGCAUGGUUCAACCUGCACGGAGGGCGGUGGAACCGAGACACGGCAGCUUCACCUCCACAGGCGGCUUUCUUAUCGACCUCCUAUGAGCGGCGGCGGCGGCGGCCAGGUCAGAGCUUGAUAUAUUCCAAGUUCCAAAAAAUAAAUCCAUUAACUCAUAUGUUUGUAAAUUUUGUAAGGAGUGCAUAUGGCCUGAUGUUCCUUGUGUGUAUCAUGAGGAUUUGGGAGCAUCGGCGACAGACAAUUAACUAGCUAAUUGUCGUCUCUCAGCUCUGAACGGUACAUCAUGUGUGGCAACUUCAGCUUUGUACCAGGGAGUGAGGAUAUGCAGAUUUUCGGAUGGAGAGUGGCGACCCAAUCUCUUGCUACCAAACAUAACACCUACAGAAGAACUAUUGUAUUGGAAGAUGUUUGUGACAUUUGUGGGACGGAAAGUGAAGACGAGUAUCAUGUUGUAGUCUCAUGUACUCGCAGUAGGGCGAUGAGAUGUGCUAUGAGGGCUUUCUGGGACCUUCCAAAGGAACAUGCCUUUGGUCCAACAGCUUAGAAAUAAUCUAAUCCAUGGAGAUGGGAAGGAGACAGUUACUUAGGCUCAGUGAUGAUCUUGAGAUGGCUACACUUGCAACUGACAGAACGGGAAGCAAAAGCACCCUUUCUGUGCAUGUCCAGAGCAUUUGCAAGCCAGUUACCCUUGCUUGCAAUCGGUGGCGCGCACCACCAGAAGGAACUACCAAACUGAACUCUGACGCUGCAUUCUUACAUGAGGCGGAUGACUCGGGGAGGAGCAGUUGUUCGGGAUUUCAGUGGCAAUCCUCUUCUGUCUGUCGGCUGUUAGUUACAACAGUGUACGUCGAUAGAAGAAGCCGAAGCCUUUGUGGCUCUGAUGGGUUUGUCUGAGCUAAAGAAAUUUUUCACGGGGCAUAUACUAAUUGAGACAAAUUGUGCCACCAUUGGACGAGAGCUUCAAUCGGAAGGAGUGUGCAGAUCGUUGUGGUUUGCUGUGAUGACAGAUAUUAAAGAACAGAUCAAAAUCUUUGCAAGCGUGCAGAUUAACAUCGUAAAGCAGGAUCAAAACAAAUUGGCCCAUGAGAUUGCGGUGACGGCGAUAAGAUUGGGCGAUCACCUCCGUUUAACAGAUGUGCAUGAUAAUGUUAGACAAAUUCUAAUGUCAAAGUGUAUUCCCACCAAUGCAUAGCUUGUUGCUUUGGUUCUAGAAAAACAAAAACAAAUUACGCUAUAGAUUUUCACUCUUAGCUAGAUGCAUACACAUAGGCCUUUAUUUAGUGCAUUUCAAAUAAACCUGGGCAUUUAAUGGUUUAUCGGUUUAUGUGUGCAAGAUACAAGAAGAAGACUAAGGAUCUUAUUAAGGAGCAUGUUGAGAGUGAAGAUGAUGCUGCAGAGUAAUAAUGUUGACACUGUGAUAUCUCGAUACCAAUAGCUUCGGUUUGUCCACGUCAUCGUGAGGUGGAGUGCCAAAAUGCCUGAAGCUUAUGACAUGGGUGAAGCUGCAAGUGCAAUGCAAGUGUUGUGCUCCGUGAAUAGCAAGCCCAUUUGGGGAAUGUAUUUGAACAAUGACCCAAGCAGUCGCACAAGCAGAUCUGCACAUAUUAUUACCAAGGUUGCGAACCAGAUGCGCCAUUGACGGCGAUGGCAGGUUUGGAUUGGGAAGGAGAAGAUGAGAAGAUAGUUGGGGAGUAAGAAGGUGUAAAAUCGACAAUAUCGUCUUAUGUGCAUGAGGAUCCUAAUGGUAUAUGUUUGACGCGAUUGGUGCUAAACUACUAAGAUAUGUGGUGGCGCGAGGUGGGGGUCGGCAAUGAGGCGGCUAUGCUGCAUGAGGCAGUCAAGUCCGAGGCUGCACUGGGGAGGCACGUGCGGUGCCUGCCCCAAGACCCCGUUGGGGCGAGGCAUGGGCGGCACCCACCCUCCCUGUUAUUGCCCUGCGGGGUCAGGCUGCCCCUCUUCCCAGAGGUCAACGCCGGUCAGUGUGCUUCUGGUUUCUACAGUAGCAGAGGCGACCAGGAGGGCACGUAUGGGGUGUGUACAUUGAAAGGACCACUACGAUCAUGCUCGAUUCGCUUCGAGCAGGACCAUGGCGUCAAUUCCAACGCCAUCCGUGAGAUCUCCCUCUUCAAGGAUGCGCAACAUCCAAACAUGGUCAGUACUGCAACCCUCUUGUCUUCCUCUCCCUCCCUGCAUGGUGGUCGCUGUCAGCAUCAGCAUCAAGGUUUAGGGUGCCUUUCGUCCCUCUUGUAUGGAUGGAUAGGUUGGUGUGUUUUGUUCUUUCUUUCUUUGUUGCCAUGUAGGUUGCAGGAGGAGGUGCACACGUGCACAAUGAGAAGUGCAUAUGCCGACUCAUCCCGGAGACCAGAACUUGAAAUAUAUAGACACAUACACGUAGUCAAGGCAGAUGCCAACAAAAAAAAAUGAUUUGAUUUUAUUUGGCUUGUUUAUCAAUUGUCUCUUACUAUUUCCUAACAUUUCCUCAGUUUGGCCCUGAAAUACUGAUGUACUUUGGUUGUAUUUGUUGACUUGUUGUUUCAUUCAGUUUGCAAGGGUUACCUUGUGCAAAUUCUUAACACAGUCAUCAUAAUUGCAUCUAUAGCAAAUAGCUAUUAUCGAAAUGAUAGACCACUCCAAGAUUAUGAUUGUACUAUGCCAAAUUGCCAAUUUCUAUUACUAGGAGUAAAAUACUCGUGUAUCUCUAAAAAAACAACUACUAAUGUACUCCCUCCGGAACAAAUAUAAGACUGUUUAGAUCACUAAUUUAGUGAUCGAAACUGUCUUUAUAUUUGUUUACGGAGGGAGUAUCAUGCAAACAUUUGAGGCACCCUAGCGAAGAUGCAUGGCGGCAGAAGCGAUACUCCGAGCACAUGGUCGCCGCGAGAGCCUCGCCGGGGUAAGAGAAAAAAAUGUUGGAUUUCAAGCACAUCAUGUAGGAGAGACGGGAUAGGUUGGUGUCAUAGCGGCCGGGUGCAAGCAUAGAGGAGUAUGGUGUUUACAUGCUAAUUACUUCUACAUUAAUAUAAUUGUUUGAUGACUCUGAAGGGAGAAGAAAAUGGCAAAGAAUCCAUCAAAAUUCAUGGUGUUGAUGUGGAAGGUUGGGGGAUUUUUAGACGGAUGCGCCAUUGAUGGUGGUUGCGAUCUUGGCAGCAAGCGCUUGGAUUGGGAAGAUAGAGAUAGUGGGUGAAGAGGAGGAGAAGGAGCCCGAAUAAGAAGAGUGCUUUAAGGGUAGAAAAGAAGUCAACAAUGAUGCUUAAUGUGCAUUAGGAUCCUAAAGAUGUAUGUUUUGGACAAUUAAGCACUACCAUAUUUAUACCCCUGUUGCAACACAAAGGCUGAUUAGUUCAAAUUUAUUUGCUUUAAGG